AAAUUGAAGAGUUUGAUCAUGGCUCAGAUUGAACGCUGGCGGCAGGCCUAACACAUGCAAGUCGAACGGUAACAGGAAGCAGCUUGCUGCUUUGCUGACGAGUGGCGGACGGGUGAGUAAUGUCUGGGAAACUGCCUGAUGGAGGGGGAUAACUACUGGAAACGGUGGCUAAUACCGCAUAACGUCGCAAGACCAAAGAGGGGGACCUUCGGGCCUCUUGCCAUCAGAUGUGCCCAGAUGGGAUUAGCUUGUUGGUGAGGUAACGGCUCACCAAGGCGACGAUCCCUAGCUGGUCUGAGAGGAUGACCAGCCACACUGGAACUGAGACACGGUCCAGACUCCUACGGGAGGCAGCAGUGGGGAAUAUUGCACAAUGGG
rnacentral:rRNA from 1 species